rnacentral:rRNA from 1 species
CUUCUUGUAGGGUGAACAUGCGGAAGGAUCAUUG